rnacentral:rRNA from 1 species
GAUGAACGCUGGCGGCGUGCCUAAUACAUGCAAGUCGAGCGAACAGACGAGGAGCUUGCUCCUCUGACGUUAGCGGCGGACGGGUGAGUAACACGUGGAUAACCUACCUAUAAGACUGGGAUAACUUCGGGAAACCGGAGCUAAUACCGGAUAAUAUAUUGAACCGCAUGGUUCCAUAGUGAAAGACGGUUUUGCUGUCACUUAUAGAUGGAUCCGCGCCGCAUUAGCUAGUUGGUAAGGUAACGGCUUACCAAGGCGACGAUGCGUAGCCGACCUGAGAGGGUGAUCGGCCACACUGGAACUGAGACACGGUCCAGACUCCUACGGGAGGCAGCAGUAGGGAAUCUUCCGCAAUGGGCGAAAGCCUGACGGAGCAACGCCGCGUGAGUGAUGAAGGUCUUCGGAUCGUAAAACUCUGUUAUUAGGGAAGAACAAAUGUGUAAGUAACUAUGCACGUCUUGACGGUACCUAAUCAGAAAGCCACGGCUAACUACGUG